GACGAACGCUGGCGGCGUGCUUAACACAUGCAAGUCGAACGAUGAAGCUAGAGCUUGCUCUGGUGGAUUAGUGGCGAACGGGUGAGUAACACGUGAGUAACCUGCCCCGAACUCUGGGAUAACUGCUGGAAACGGUAGCUAAUACUGGAUACGACCAACGAAGGCAUCUUCUGUUGGUGGAAAGAAUUUCGGUUCGGGAUGGACUCGCGGCCUAUCAGCUUGUUGGUGAGGUAACGGCUCACCAAGGCGACGAAGGGUAGCCGGGCUGAGAGGGUGAUCGGCCACACUGGGACUGAGACACGGCCCAGACUCCUACGGGAGGCAGCAGUGGGGAAUAUUGAACAAUGGGCGCAAGCCUGAUGCAGCAACGCCGCGUGAGGGACGACGGCCUUCGGGUUGUAAACCUCUUUUAGUAGGGAAGAAGCGAAAGUGACGGUACCUGCAGAAAAAGCACCGGCUAACUACGUGCCAGCAGCCGCCGUAA
rnacentral:rRNA from 1 species